CAUCAUUUGCUUUAGGAAACUGUUUUCCGGCAUACCAAUGGUGACCACGCGUUGACACGGGCCAUCCCCAUUUCUCUUUCACAAGCCGUUUUGCAUACAUUUCUCUCGCUUUUUACGCGACGAAGCGGCCCGGAUUCUACCGCCUUCAUCGCACUCACCAGGAACCCAGGAAAGUGAGGAGAAUCGAGGGAAAAAGAAAUGACAAGAGGAAAACAGAAGAUCGAGGCGCAGAGGAAGAAUGCGGAGAAGAACCAGAAGCCCAAAGGGUCGCAGCUCGAGGCCCGUGCCGUUGGUCUCAAAGUCGUCUGCCCCAUUUGUAAAGUUCAGCUAGCAAAUCAUAAUCAGCUCAUCGAUCAUUAUGGCUCCAAGCAUCCAAAAGAAAAGCCUCCAAGCAACUCAGAAUAACAGCUUCUCUGCUCUGGUGCCUUCAAAAUGUAAUUAGACUCUCAAAGUUCUGGAUCAAAUGGAAGAGUUCUUAUGCUCUUUGUUUGGAAUGUAAGAGAAUGUAAACUUUACGCCACCCCUACCCUCGAUCCUUUCCUUUCCAUUACUCAGAUGAAGCAUACUAGAAACAGACCAAUAAACUGUACAAUUUGUUUUCUUUUUGUGGGUUUAUAUCAAGCUGUUCUGGAAUAAUAUCAGUUGAUGCUUUGUUAUAUUGCCCGAUAAUAGUGUCUUGAGCAGCUA